AGCAGCCGCGGUAAUUCCAGCUCCAAUAGCGUAUAUUAAAGUUGUUGCAGUUAAAAAGCUCGUAGUUGAAUUUCGGGAUCAAUAUUUCGGUCAUGCCGUUGGUAUGCACUGUUAUCAUUGAUUUCUCACCUUCUAAAGAACCGUAAUGCCAUUAAUUUGGUGUUACGGGGAAUUAGGACUGUUACCUUGAAAAAAUUAGAGUGUUUAAAGCAGGCUCACGCUUGAAUACAUUAGCAUGGAAUAAUGAAAUAGGACAUCCGAUUCUAUUUUGUUGGUUUCUAGGAUCGAUGUAAUGAUUAAUAGGGAUAGUUGGGGGCAUUAGUAUUCAAUUGUCAGAGGUGAAAUUCUUGGAUUAUUGAAGACUAACUACUGCGAAAGCAUUUGCCAAGGAUGUUUUCAUUAAUCAAGAACGAAAGUUAGGGGAUCGAAGACGAUCAGAUACCGUCGUAGUCUUAACCAUAAACUAUGCCGACUAGGGAUCGGAUGAUGUUAAUUUUUUAAUGACUCAUUCGGCGCCUUA
rnacentral:rRNA from 1 species